rnacentral:lncRNA from 1 species
UUGAAUUUUCAGGUUAAAAAGCUAAUGCCUUAAGGAGGUUGAUGCAUAAUUGAGUUGAAAUCAUUUGACCAAUUGUUUGUUUUGUAGGGCUUGGUUCACUUGAUCCUUGUGCCAUGCACAUGUUGCACAUUAUUGUUUGAUUGUACAUUGGUUGAUUCUUAUGUUAUUGUUUUGUUUAUGUUGGGAUGCUGAUUCUGUUUGACUUUUUCAGGUACCCUUAGUUGCUUAGUUCUCUUAAGAAC